rnacentral:tRNA from 1 species
CGGGGUGUGGCGCAGCCAGGUAGCGCACCUGGUUUGGGACCAGGGAGUCGGAGGUUCAAAUCCUCUCACCCCGA